rnacentral:rRNA from 1 species
UACGUAGGGUGCAAGCGUUGUCCGGAAUUAUUGGGCGUAAAGAGCUCGUAGGCGGUUUGUCGCGUCGUUCGUGAAAACCUGGGGCUCAACUCCGGGCCUGCAGCCGAUACGGGCAGACUAGAGUUCGGCAGGGGAGACUGGAAUUCCUGGUGUAGCGGUGAAAUGCGCAGAUAUCAGGAGGAACACCGGUGGCGAAGGCGGGUCUCUGGGCCGAUACUGACGCUGAGGAGCGAAAGCGUGGGGAGCAAACAGG